AACGAACGCUGGCGGCAUGCCUAACACAUGCAAGUCGAACGAGACCUUCGGGUCUAGUGGCGCACGGGUGCGUAACGCGUGGGAACCUGCCUUUAGGUUCGGAAUAACUCAGAGAAAUUUGAGCUAAUACCGGAUGAUGUCUUCGGACCAAAGAUUUAUCGCCUUUAGAUGGGCCCGCGUUGGAUUAGCUAGUUGGUGGGGUAAAGGCCUACCAAGGCGACGAUCCAUGGCUGGUCUGAGAGGAUGAUCAGCCACACUGGGACUGAGACACGGCCCAGACUCCUACGGGAGGCAGCAGUGGGGAAUAUUGGACAAUGGGCGAAAGCCUGAUCCAGCAAUGCCGCGUGAGUGAUGAAGGCCUUAGGGUUGUAAAGCUCUUUUACCCGAGAUGAUAAUGACAGUAUCGGGAGAAUAAGCUCCGGCUAACUCCGUG
rnacentral:rRNA from 1 species